AUAUUGCACAAUGGGCGCAAGCCUGAUGCAGCCAUGCCGCGUGUAUGAAGAAGGCCUUCGGGUUGUAAAGUACUUUCAGCAGUGAGGAAGGCAGAUACGUUAAUAGCGUGCUUGUUUGACGUUAGCUGCAGAAGAAGCACC
rnacentral:rRNA from 1 species